rnacentral:lncRNA from 10 species
UUUUUCAAAGUAAACGCUUUGGGCCGCGGAACACUCAGCUAAGAGCAUCGAGGGGGCGCCAAGAGGCAAGGGGCGGGGACGGGCAGUGGCUCGCCUCAUGGCGGACUGCCCGCCCGCUCCCAAGAUCCAACUAGGAGCUUUUUAACUGCAGCAACUUUAAUAUACGCUAUUGGAGCUGGAAUUACCGCGGCUGCUGGCACUAAACUUGCCCUCCAAUGGAUCUUCGUUAAAGGAUUUAAAGUGGACUCAUUCCAAUUACAGGACCUCGAAAGAGUCCUGUAUUGUUAUGUUUCAUCACUACCUCCUCGAGUCAGGAGUGGGUAAUUUGCAUGCCUGCUGCCUUCCUUGAAUGUGGUAGCCAUUUCUCAGGCUCCCUCUCCAGAAUCGAACCCUGAUUCUCCUUCACCCGUGGUCACCUUGGUAGGCACAGCGACUACCAUCGAAAGUUGAUAGGGCAGACGUUCGAAUGGGUCGUUGCUGCAGGGGCCGGAGAGGGGCUGACCGGGUUGGUUUUGAUCUGAUAAAUGCAGGCAUCUUCCCCGCGAAGGGGGUCAGCACC